rnacentral:rRNA from 1 species
GUGAACGCUGGCGGUAGGCCUAACACAUGCAAGUCGAUCGGCAGCACAGUAAGAGCUUGCUCUUACGGGUGGCGAGUGGCGGACGGGUGAGGAAUACAUCGGAAUCUACUUUUUCGUGGGGGAUAACGUAGGGAAACUUACGCUAAUACCGCAUACGACCUACGGGUGAAAGCAGGGGAUCUUCGGACCUUGCGCGAUUGAAUGAGCCGAUGUCGGAUUAGCUAGUUGGCGGGGUAAAGGCCCACCAAGGCGACGAUCCGUAGCUGGUCUGAGAGGAUGAUCAGCCACACUGGAACUGAGACACGGUCCAGACUCCUACGGGAGGCAGCAGUGGGGAAUAUUGGACAAUGGGCGCAAGCCUGAUCCAGCCAUACCGCGUGGGUGAAGAAGGCCUUCGGGUUGUAAAGCCCUUUUGUUGGGAAAGAAAAGCAGCAGGUUAAUACCCCGCUGUUCUGACGGUACCCAAAGAAUAAGCACCGGCUAACUUCGUG